ACCCCGCGGGAGAGACCGGUCAAACGGCCAGCCACUCUGGCGGUUAUGGGCCGGCGCCGAAGGAGCAACCGCCCCGGAAACUCUCAGGCACCCGGACCGCGGGGGG
rnacentral:ncRNA from 1 species